UCUUCCCCAUACAACAUAGCCGGUCUAACAACAGCUCUAUAAAAACAUACCUUUGAGUAUCGGUGGCACUUUCUUAUCGCACAAGACUCCAGAUGCGAGCCUCCAUUUCAUCCAUCCCGCCCCUAUGCGGUGAGUGACGUCUUCGUCGAUCUCUCCAUCCCCUGAAUCACCGACCCAAGGUACUUGAAGCUAGCUCUCUUGGGGACGACCUGUGACCCAAGCCUCACUUCCCCUCCUCCAUCUCUUGAUUCAGUGCUAAACUUGCACUUCGUGUACUCUGUCUUAGACCUGCUCAAUUUGAAACCCUUAGACUCGAGAGACUGUCUCCAAACCUCUAAUCUCUCGUUAACACCUGCCCUUGUCUCGUCAAUUAGGACAAUGUCAUCA
rnacentral:lncRNA from 1 species